rnacentral:rRNA from 1 species
UACGAUAGGCCCAAACGUUAUUCGGAAUUACUGGGCUUAAAGAGUUCGUAGGCGGCGCAGAAAGUAGGGUGUGAAAGCCCUCGGCUCAACCGAGGAAUUGCGCUCUAAACUACUGUGCUUGAGGAAUCUAGAGGUGAGCGGAACUGAUGGUGGAGCGGUGAAAUGCGUUGAUAUCAUCAGGAACACCGGAGGCGAAGGCGGCUCACUGGGGAUUUUCUGACGCUGAGGAACGAAAGCCAGGGGAGCGAACGGG